rnacentral:misc_RNA from 1 species
GAUGAAGAACGCAGCGAAAUGCGAUAAGUAAUGUGAAUUGCAGAAUUCAGUGAAUCAUCGAAUCUUUGAACGCACAUUGCGCCCGCCAGCAUUCUGGCGGGCAUGCCUGUUCGAGCGUCAUUUCAACCCUCGAGCCCCCCCGGGGGCCUCGGUGUUGGGGGACGGCACACCAGCCGCCCCCGAAAUGCAGUGGCGACCCCGCCGCAGCCUCCCCUGCGUAGUAGCACACACCUCGCACCGGAGCGCGGAGGCGGUCACGCCGUAAAACGCCCAACUUUCUUAGAGUUGACCUCGGAUCAGGUAGGGAUACCCGCUGAACUUAAGCAUAUCAAUAAGCGGAGGA